GACGAACGCUGGCGGCGUGCUUAACACAUGCAAGUCGAACGGAAAGGCCCUGCUUUUGUGGGGUGCUCGAGUGGCGAACGGGUGAGUAACACGUGAGUAACCUGCCCUUGACUUUGGGAUAACUUCAGGAAACUGGGGCUAAUACCGGAUAGGAGCUCCUGCUGCAUGGUGGGGGUUGGAAAGUUUCGGCGGUUGGGGAUGGACUCGCGGCUUAUCAGCUUGUUGGUGGGGUAGUGGCUUACCAAGGCUUUGACGGGUAGCCGGCCUGAGAGGGUGACUGGCCACAUUGGGACUGAGAUACGGCCCAGACUCCUACGGGAGGCAGCAGUGGGGAAUAUUGCACAAUGGGCGGAAGCCUGAUGCAGCAACGCCGCGUGCGGGAUGACGGCCUUCGGGUUGUAAACCGCUUUCGCCUGUGACGAAGCGUGAGUGACGGUAAUGGGUAAAGAAGCACCAGCUAACUACGUG
rnacentral:rRNA from 1 species